UUUCACAAAUAUAUCCAAAGUACAAUCCAUAUAAUAAAUAUCUAUACUCUAUUUAUUCAUUUACAACCCAUUUGGAAUACAAUUACGGAACUCUACUCCAUAAUUUACUAUCCUUUGCAUUUACAUAUUCAGUACAAUGCUUAUUACUUUUAUCGAUCCGUAUCUCGUUCGAUUGGACUCCAGGAUUCUUCCAUCUAUUACCUGGGAAGGGUUGGAAGGGGGGGGGGGGGUGGGGGGGAGUACUAGUAGGAUUAGAUAACCCUCUCACCCUACACAAUCAUACAAAUGCUAAAAUAUUUUAAUGUGAUCACCCGUUUGGUUAUAUGAGCAUGCAGUUUGUCACACAAAUGGCAAUACAACAGCAAUCACAAUUAUUAUCACCUUCAUAUAAUCACAUCACGUGGAAAUUAGUCAGUGGAGUCACCCCCGACGAGUUGUCCUCUCAAACAGCCCAUCCUCUCAAACGUGUGCACCAGGGAGCCAAUCCCCCAUUCUGACCGACCAGUCUAAUCCUCACAUGAUCAGUCCUCUCAUUCUUUUUUACAUUCUUUUUUUUCUUUUCCAUAUCAUUCAUAUCAUAUCAUCAAGUGCACACGGGGGCGCCGAUCUCCCAUUUGCCCGGCCGACGGUCCAAUUUCACAAUUUCAUCAUAAUCAUGAUCCAUACUUUACCGACCGUCCUCUCAAACCCAUGGUGACCCACUUCAUCCUAAUUCCACACAAACAAAGCACAGUAAUAUCAUAUCACAAGUAAUCAAGCAAUUUUUAAUAUCAACAAUAGUGCAACACAAUAUGACAAUUCAACAAAAUAAUGCAUGAUAACAUUUAACCGUGAAUGCAUGAAUGCAGGCGGAUGAGGCGAAUUAUCUAACAUUACUCACAGUUUUUUGUUGUCCUUAAAAGGACUACCUUAUUGUGCGGUUCCAGCCUGUCUUCACAUGCCGACACUUUAUAAAUAUCUAUAUAAUAAGAAAAUUCUAAAUGAGAAUUCUAAUUUGGGAAAGGCAGUUUACAUUCAUUUAUUAGUUUUGGUUACCAGUCAUUUAAUUCACUUCUUAAUUUAAACUAUAUAUGUAUUUAUAGAUAUAUAUUGAGUUUCCUUAUUUAUUUAUUCUAAUUUAUCGCCUCUAG
rnacentral:lncRNA from 1 species